UACGGGGGGGGCAAGCGUUGUCCGGAAUUACUGGGCGUAAAGAGCUCGUAGGUGGUUUGUCGCGUUGUCCGUGAAAACUCACAGCUCAACUGUGGGCGUGCGGGCGAUACGGGCAGACUGGAGUACUGCAGGGGAGACUGGAAUUCUGGUGUAGCGGUGAAAUGCGCAGAUAUCAGGAGGAACACCGGUGGCGAAGGCGGGUCUCCUGGGCCGGAAACUGACGCUGAGGAGCGAAAGCCAGGGGAGCAAACGGGA
rnacentral:rRNA from 1 species